GAUGAACGCUGGCGGCGUGCCUAAUACAUGCAAGUCGAGCGAACAGACGAGGAGCUUGCUCCUCUGACGUUAGCGGCGGACGGGUGAGUAACACGUGGAUAACCUACCUAUAAGACUGGGAUAACUUCGGGAAACCGGAGCUAAUACCGGAUAAUAUACUGAACCGCAUGGUUCAAUAGUGAAAGACGGUUUUGCUGUCACUUAUAGAUGGAUCCGCGCCGCAUUAGCUAGUUGGUAAGGUAACGGCUUACCAAGGCAACGAUGCGUAGCCGACCUGAGAGGGUGAUCGGCCACACUGGAACUGAGACACGGUCCAGACUCCUACGGGAGGCAGCAGUAGGGAAUCUUCCGCAAAGGGCGAAAGCCUGACGGAGCAACGCCGCGUGAGUGAUGAAGGUCUUCGGAUCGUAAAACUCUGUUAUUAGGGAAGAACAAAUGUGUAAGUAACUAUGCACGUCUUGACGGUACCUAAUCAGAAAGCCACGGCUAACUACGUG
rnacentral:rRNA from 1 species